rnacentral:rRNA from 1 species
AGUGAACGCUGGCGGUAGGCCUAACACAUGCAAGUCGAACGGCAGCACAGUAAGAGCUUGCUCUUACGGGUGGCGAGUGGCGGACGGGUGAGGAAUACAUCGGAAUCUACUUUUUCGUGGGGGAUAACGUAGGGAAACUUACGCUAAUACCGCAUACGACCUACGGGUGAGAGCAGGGGAUCUUCGGACCUUGCGCGAUUGAAUGAGCCGAUGUCGGAUUAGCUAGUUGGCGGGGUAAAGGCCCACCAAGGCGACGAUCCGUAGCUGGUCUGAGAGGAUGAGCAGCCACACUGGAACUGAGACACGGUACAGACUCCUACGGGAGGCAGCAGUGGGGAAUAUUGGACAAUGGGCGCAAGCAUGAUCCAGCCAUACCGCGUGGGUGAAGAAGGCCUUCGGGUUGUAAAGCCCUUUUGUUGGGAAAGAAAAGCAGCAGGUUAAUACCCCGCUGUUCUGACGGUACCCAAAGAAUAAGCACCGGCUAACUUCGUG